rnacentral:rRNA from 1 species
GUCGCAUGUUCCCGGGCGCAAUGGCGGCCGCGGGAAUUCGAUUAUUACCGCGGCUGCUGGCACAGAGUUAGCCGGUGCUUAUUCUGUCGGUAACGUCAAAACAGCAAAGUAUUAAUUUACUGCCCUUCCUCCCAACUUAAAGUGCUUUACAAUCCGAAGACCUUCUUCACACACGCGGCAUGGCUGGAUCAGGCUUUCGCCCAUUGUCCAAUAUUCCCCACUGCUGCCUCCCGUAGGAGUCUGGACCGUGUCUCAGUUCCAGUGUGACUGAUCAUCCUCUCAGACCAGUUACGGAUCGUCGCCUUGGUGAGCCAUUACCCCACCAACUAGCUAAUCCGACCUAGGCUCAUCUGAUAGCGCAAGGCCCGAAGGUCCCCUGCUUUCUCCCGUAGGACGUAUGCGGUAUUAGCGUCCGUUUCCGAACGUUAUCCCCCACUACCAGGCAGAUUCCUAGGCAUUACUCACCCGUCCGCCGCUCUCAAGAGAAGCAAGCUUCUCUCUACCGCUCGACUUGCAUGUGUUAGGCCUGCCGCCAGCGUUCAAUCUGAGCCAUGAUCAAACUCUAAUCACUAGUGAAUUCGCGGCCGCCUGCAGGUCGACCAUAUGGGAGAGCCCCAACGCGUUGGA